rnacentral:tRNA from 1 species
GCACUGGUGGUUCAAUGGUAGAAUUCUCGCCUUCCAUGCGGGAGACCCAGUUUGAUUCCGAGACAGUGCA